AUUGAACGCUGGCGGCAUGCUUUACACAUGCAAGUCGAACGGCAGCGCGGGCUUCGGCCUGGCGGCGAGUGGCGAACGGGUGAGUAAUGCAUCGGAACGUGCCCAGUAGUGGGGGAUAGCCCGGCGAAAGCCGGAUUAAUACCGCAUACGACCUGAGGGUGAAAGCGGGGGACCGAAAGGCCUCGCGCUAUUGGAGCGGCCGAUGUCGGAUUAGCUAGUUGGUGGGGUAAAGGCUUACCAAGGCGACGAUCCGUAGCUGGUCUGAGAGGACGACCAGCCACACUGGGACUGAGACACGGCCCAGAUUCCUACGGGAGGCAGCAGUGGGGAAUUUUGGACAAUGGGGGCAACCCUGAUCCAGCCAUGCCGCGUGCGGGAAGAAGGCCUUCGGGUUGUAAACCGCUUUUGUUCGGGAAGAAAUCCUCUGGGCUAAUACCCCGGGGGGAUGACGGUACCGGAAGAAUAAGCACCGGCUAACUACGUG
rnacentral:rRNA from 1 species